CUUAAAGAUUGAUAUGCAAAUGGU
rnacentral:siRNA from 1 species